GAUGAACGCUGACAGAAUGCUUAACACAUGCAAGUCUACUUGAAUUUGGGUUUUUUCACUUAGAUUUGGGUGGCGGACGGGUGAGUAACGCGUAAAGAACUUGCCUCACAGCUAGGGACAACAUUUGGAAACGAAUGCUAAUACCUGAUAUUAUGAUUAUAAGGCAUCUUAGAAUUAUGAAAGCUAUAUGCGCUGUGAGAGAGCUUUGCGUCCCAUUAGCUAGUUGGAGAGGUAACGGCUCACCAAGGCGAUGAUGGGUAGCCGGCCUGAGAGGGUGAACGGCCACAAGGGGACUGAGACACGGCCCUUACUCCUACGGGAGGCAGCAGUGGGGAAUAUCGGACAAUGGACCAAGAGUCUGAUCCAGCAAUUCUGUGUGCACGAUGACGUUUUUCGGAAUGUAAAGUGCUUUCAGUUGGGAAGAAAAAAAUGACGGUACCAACAGAAGAAGUGACGGCUAAAUACGUG
rnacentral:rRNA from 1 species